UCGUAACAAGGUUUCCGUAGGUGAACCUGCGGAAGGAUCAUUACAGAGUUCAUGCCCGAAAGGGUAGACCUCCCACCCUUGUGUAUUAUUACUUUGUUGCUUUGGCGAGCUGCCUUCGGGCCUUGCAUGCUCGCCAGAGAAAACCAAAACUCUUUUUAUUAAUGUCGUCUGAGUACUAUAUAAUAGUUAAAACUUUCAACAACGGAUCUCUUGGUUCUGGCAUCGAUGAAGAACGCAGCGAAAUGCGAUAAGUAAUGUGAAUUGCAGAAUUCAGUGAAUCAUCGAAUCUUUGAACGCACAUUGCGCCCCUUGGUAUUCCGGGGGGCAUGCCUGUUCGAGCGUCAUUUCAACCCUCAAGCUUAGCUUGGUAUUGAGUCUAUGUCAGUAAUGGCAGGCUCUAAAAUCAGUGGCGGCGCCGCUGGGUCCUGAACGUAGUAAUAUCUCUCGUUACAGGUUCUCGGUGUGCUUCUGCCAAAACCCAAAUUUUUCUAUGGUUGACCUCGGAUCAGGUAGGGAUACCCGCUGAACUUAAGCAUAUCAAUAA
rnacentral:misc_RNA from 1 species